UACGGAGGAUGCAAGCGUUAUCCGGAAUGAUUGGGCGUAAAGCGUCCGCAGGUGGCAAUGUAAGUCUGCUGUCAAAGCGUCUGGCUCAACCAGAUAAAGGCAGUGGAAACUACAUAGCUAGAGUAAGGUAGGGGUAGAGGGAAUUCCUGGUGUAGCGGUGAAAUGCGUAGAGAUCAGGAAGAACACCGGUGGCGAAAGCGCUCUGCUGGACCUUAACUGACACUGAGGGACGAAAGCGUGGGGAGCAAACAGG
rnacentral:rRNA from 1 species